ACGGAGGGGGCUAGCGUUGUUCGGAAUUACUGGGCGUAAAGCGCGCGUAGGCGGAUCUGCAAGUCAGGGGUGAAAUCCCGAGGCUCAACCUCGGAACUGCCUUUGAUACUGCGGAUCUCGAGUCCGAGAGAGGUGAGUGGAAUUCCUAGUGUAGAGGUGAAAUUCGUAGAUAUUAGGAAGAACACCAGUGGCGAAGGCGGCUCACUGGCUCGGUACUGACGCUGAGGCGCGAAAGCGUGGGGAGCAAACAGG
rnacentral:rRNA from 1 species